CAGUGUUCCAUGUGGGCUGCCAUCUUAUCCCCUUCACCAUCCAUCCCCCUUCCUGGAAUGCACUGUCACGACGCCACAUCACAGCAUCUCUGAGCCCUUACAGAGGUGUCUGAAUCUCCCUGGCUCCAUGCCCCAUCUCUGAAGACCAGCUGUGAAUACGUGAGCCUCUACCACCAGCCUGCCGCCAUGAUGGAGGACAGUGAUUCAGAUGACUACAUCAAUGUUCCUGCCUGACAACUCCCCAGCUAUCCCCCAACCCCAGGCUCGGACUGUGGUGCCAAGGAGUCUCAUCUAUCUGCUGAUGUCCAAUACCUGCUUCAUGUGUUCUCAGAGCCCUCAUCACUUCCCAUGCCCCAUCUCGACUCCCAUCCCCAUCUAUCUGUGCCCUGAGCAUGGCUCUGCCCCCAGGUCGUCUUGCACACCUUGGCAGCCCCCUGUAGUUGACAGGUAAGCUGUAGGCAUGUAGAGCAAUUGUCCCAAUGCCACUUGCUUCCUUUCCAAGCCGUCGAACAGACUGUGGGAUUUGCAGAGUGUUUCUUCCAUGUCUUUGACCACAGGGUUGUUGCUGCCCAGGCUCUAGAUCACAUGGCAUCAGGCUGGGGCAGAGGCAUAGCUAUUGUCUCGGGCAUCCUUCCCAGGGUUGGGUCUUACACAAAUAGAAGGCUCUUGCUCUGAGUUAUGUGACAUGCCUCAGCCCCAUGGACUAAGCAGGGGUCUGGUAUAAAAACACUCCUGGAAACGCCUUUGCCCUGAUCCAAAUGUUAGCACUUGCUAGUGAACGUCUACUUAUCUCAAGUUCUAUGCUAAAGGCAAUUUAUCUUGAUGUGAUGAUAAACCAAACUUAUUAGCAAGAUAUGCAUAUAUAUCCAUAAAUUCUCUUUACUCUGUCUCCAUCACUUGAUGCACAUAAGUGC
rnacentral:lncRNA from 1 species